CUGUUUAGAGAUGGAGAAGGUGUGCAGAUGUCAGCAGUGAACACGGUACCACUCAGCGCCCAUAUUCUCUUAUCUCCAAGUCUAGUCCGGCACUUCAGAGACAUGAUAACAUUGUCUUUAAAGGGCUGUUGCAUGAUUUUUCUUCAAUAAUAUUUUGGGAAACCUUUAUCUAAGCAUUUCUUAUCACCGAAAAACCAUUUAUUCCAAUUGAUUUCUCUCUGUUUAGUGGAGAGUUUGUGCUUGGCCCAGAAAACCAAGUGUGAUCUCCAAUACUCUGAGUGCACAGAUGUUAAUGGGACCCUGUACUGCCAGUGUCAUCCAGGGUACAUCAAAACGAACCUAGGAGACAUGACCUGCAGAGACUGGGGAGAUGGACUUCAGCUUGUUAAUGGAAACUGUGUUGAACCUUUGCUCUCCUCCAAGUGUUGUGGAAAACCUGCCAGCCUUGACUCGUGGGCCCAACAAACAACGUAGCAUUGUGCUA